rnacentral:rRNA from 1 species
CAGUCGCCGCGGGAAUACGGAGGAUCCAAGCGUUAUCCGGAAUCAUUGGGUUUAAAGGGUCCGUAGGCGGUCUUGUAAGUCAGUGGUGAAAGCCCAUCGCUCAACGGUGGAACGGCCAUUGAUACUGCAGGACUUGAAUUAUUGGGAAGUAACUAGAAUAUGUAGUGUAGCGGUGAAAUGCUUAGAGAUUACAUGGAAUACCAAUUGCGAAGGCAGGUUACUACCAAUUGAUUGACGCUGAUGGACGAAAGCGUGGGUAGCGAACAGGAUUAGAUACCCGCGUAGUCCCUGUCUCUUAUAC